GCUGUGAUUGUUCUCGGAGCUCAGGGACCCGGGCAGCUGGGAACAAAGUGGGAGUCAGACCUAUCAUUUCUCGGACCUUUUACGGGCAAUGAACAGGAAAGGAGACGUGGAAUACUUUUGUUCGGGGAGCCAUUUCUAGAGAAAUCACCAGACAACAGAUUUCCUGAAAAGUACAGAGUCCUCCCUUCUCUGCAGCAAGCGAGUCUAGACUUCAGCUGUUCUGGAGCACAACAGCAGCCAGCGAGUCUACUUGACCUUGCAGACACCAGGAAGUGAGCAGCUUUCCUUCACCCCACCUUUCCACCAUAAUGUUCUUACCUGAGCCAGCCAGCCAUGCAUGGACUGAAAUCUCUGAAACCGUGAGCCGAAAUAAAGCUCUCCUUUAAGGUUUUCCCCAAUGCUACUUCUACAAAUAGCAGAAAUCUAAGUCAAAGAAAAUGGUGGGAAUUUGGGAUGACUUACUUUUUGC